UUGUCCGGAUUUACUGGGUGUAAAGGGAGUGUAGGCGGGAAGCAAGUCAGAAGUGAAAAUUAUGGGCUUAACCCAUAACCUGCUUUUGAAACUGUUUUUCUUGAGUGAGGCAGAGGCAAGCGGAAUUCCUAGUGUAGCGGUGAAAUGCGUAGAUAUUAGGAGGAACACCAGUGGCGAAGCGGCUGCUGGGCCUUUACUGACGCUGAGGCUCGAAAGCGUGGGGAGCAAACAGGAUUAGAUACCCUGGUAGUCCACGCCGUAAACGAUGGAUCCUGGGUGUGGGGAGUAUUGACCCCUUCCGUGCCGCAGUUAACACAAU
rnacentral:rRNA from 1 species